rnacentral:rRNA from 1 species
AUUGAACGCUGGCGGCAGGCCUAACACAUGCAAGUCGAACGAGUGGCGGACGGGUGAGUAAUGUCUGGGAAACUGCCUGAUGGAGGGGGAUAACUACUGGAAACGGUAGCUAAUACCGCAUACCAUCGGAUGUGCCCAGAUGGGAUUAGCUAGUAGGUGGGGUAAAGGCUCACCUAGGCGACGAUCCCUAGCUGGUCUGAGAGGAUGACCAGCGACACUGGAACGGUUACACGGUCGAGACGCCUACGGGAGGCAGCAGUGGGGAAUGUUGCACAAGGGGCGCAAGGCGGAAACAGCCAUGCCGCGUGGAUUAAGCAGGCCUUCGGGUUGUAAAGUACUUUCAGCGGGGAGGCGUUACCCGCAGAAGAAGCACCGGCUAACUCCGUGCCAGCAGCCGCGGUAAUAC